CUAAGCACACUGUUGGUUAUGUGUGCCCAAGCAUUGAGGCAGUCAAAGUAGGCAAAUCCGCUUUGAUAAUGCUGGGAUGUGAUGGGGAGCGAAAUUUAGUAGCGAAGUAGCUGAUUUCACACUGUCAAGAAAAGUCUCUAUCGAGGUUAAAGGUACCCGUACCGCAAACCGACACAGGUGGGUGAGGAGAGUAUCCUAAGGCCAGCGAGAGAACUGUUGUUAAGGAACUCGGCAAAAUGACCCCGUAACUUAGGGAUAA
rnacentral:rRNA from 1 species